rnacentral:rRNA from 1 species
UAGGGAAUAUUGGGCAAUGGCCGCAAGGCUGACCCAGCCAUGCCGCGUGCAGGAAGAAGGCCCUCCGGGUCGUAAACUGCUUUUGCCGGGGAAGAACCGCCUGGAUGCGUCCGGGUUUGACGGUACCCGGUGAAUCAGCCACGGCUAACUACGUGCCAGCAGCCGCGGUAAUACGUAGGUGGCAAGCGUUGUCCGGAUUUAUUGGGUUUAAAGGGUGCGUAGGCGGGCUGUUAAGUCCGGGGUGAAAGACGGUGGCUCAACCAUCGCAGUGCCCUGGAGACUGGCAGCCUUGAGUGCGGACGAGGCCUGUGGAACGGAUGGUGUAGCGGUGAAAUGCUCAGAUACCAUCCAGAACACCGAUUGCGAAGGCAGCAGGCUAGGGCGCCACUGACGCUGAGGC